rnacentral:lncRNA from 1 species
GUUUUGGGGAAUUUUUUCUUGAUUCACAUAAUGGAAGGGCAGACACGAAAAUUUCUGAACUAAAAGAUUGAUAUGUUCUCCGUCCGUGAUAAAAAAAAAUCGGAGGUUAUGCAUUUUCUACAUCCAACUUAUAGAUACUAUAUAUAAAAAAGAAGAUUUGGUAUUAUUGCCAAUGAGACAGCUAUCCAGAAAAGACCAAAAUGACACAAACAUUAACAACUAUAGGUAACCGUAAGGCCUUCAACAAUAAGCAAAGCCCAUACCGCAUAGUCAGCUAUAAAAGGCCCCGAUAAGAACCAUGUCGUCGACUUGAUAUCUUAUUGUUUUGCAUUACUAUGUAAUAGAUACAUUGAAAACUUAUGCAAA